CACUUCCCUAUUAACCGGCAAUCUCCAUCCUUCUCCUGAGAGCAAAGACUGUCGCCAUGUUCUGCUAGUGUCUGCUGCACAUUUUUGGGCCUUGCUCCAGGACCUUGCUUCAGAUGGCGCAUAACUCAACUGGCUUCCCUGAGGCACUGCAGUUCCAGCAGAAUUCUGCUCAUUGAUUACAGAUUCACCUGACUUAACUUGAUAAAUGAUUUUGCCCAAGCCUCCUGUCUGAGAGGCCUGUUCAGACCUUGUUGAUAUAAAAAUUUCACUGCCCUUUUAACCACUAAUGCCAACAUUAUUGGUGAUUCUUUGAUUUGCAUGCUGAAUGCAUGAUGCUCAUCUGCUGAUUUACAGGAGUGCUUCUUCAUUAUACAUGGACUGCACAUCCUCUGAUACUCUUAAGAGCUGAGCCUUUCCAAAUCACAUUUAAUAGUCUGGAUUUGGCAUUGAAAUUAGACUGGAAUACACUGAUGCCUAUCACUGCUGAUAACUGCAUCAUCCUAUUUUUUUCUCUCCUUAAGAAUAACAACAAAAACAAUCGAUUUACCUUGAAAAAGUGGAAGAUAUGGAUCUAUAUCCUAUUGGGCAACAGUCUGCUGGAGUGGGUGGUUGCCCCUUUUAGAUGAGCACCUGCCUGAUCCUGUGGACACUUGAGGCUGUGACUCCUUAUAUCUUUUUGCUUCACUAGAACUUAAAUGCAUUGUGGCCAGCACCACUAGGCACUAAUGAGUUAUUAUAAACUACUUUGAAAUGUGCUUUCUGUUCCAAGUAUGAUUCUUAUAACUAAAUAGUUUGUAUUUCAGGCAGUGUGUGAGAGGAAUGAAUCUAAUGGUUAAGAAUUUCAGGUUGCGUGAUCUGUAGAGGCGAUACUUUAAGGCUAACAAUCUGUUUAGAUGCCUCACCCAUGCAUUGACAAAUAUACUCUCCCUGAUUAGUUUAACUCCCUUGAUUCCCUAUCAAGUGCUCUAUUCAUGAUUCACUCUGGUGUCUCUCAAUGAAUGCAAGCCACAGAGUGUCUGCCCUUCUCACACAAUCCUUAUAAAGCUGGUAACUACCACAGCGCCUACACUGAGUCCCUGUUGACAAGAUUGACCAAAAUUUCAUCAGUUGGUGACAAAAAAAAAUGCAACAUAGAAAAUGGUUUUAAAUGUAGCUUUGGAGAACAGGCCACUUGGGAGGGUUCCAAUGAGCUAUAAUUCGUUUAAGAAAUUGAGAGCGGAGGAAGAUUUAAGGCAUUUGAGGAAAUGCUUUUGUGUGAGUUUUUGGAAUCUUGAUCAGGGAAUAUUGUUGGUGUGGUAAAAAUUGAAAGAGAUACAAUGACAAUAGAGACUUUGAGAGAAGUUCUUUCUGAAAUAUUUAAAAUCCCAGUUCCUAUUUGAAAUCUAACAAGUAGUGACUAUUAGCAAUAAGUGUGCUUCAUUUGUACCCCAAGAGUACAGUAUUGUGACUCAGUGCCCCCAACAUCAGUUCUUUCUCCAUAUAGGUGAAUAAUGACUUAAAUGUAGUCUGUGUUUAGGAAAGACUUAUGACAUGUGUUAUAAAACCAGAGUAGCUUUUCUUUGUACAGUAAAGAAAUCUCAUCAGCCUAUGUGUAACCAUUGUAUUCAUCAAGAGAAUGGGCAGUAAAGAAGAUAUAUGCAAUAGUGUAAUCUUUUCAUUCUCUUUUCUCGUUUGUAGCUCUCAUUGUCAUGCAGGAAGGUGCACUCAAAUCUCCAGUAUUCUGUUUUCUGAAUAGUGCUCAGUUUUCUUGACUGCUCCAUUUGGGCAUCAGAGCUUUCUUUCACUUUCGGACUUUCAAAUGCCACAUAACUUUCUCAUGAAGUGCAGAGGAUUUUAAGAUCCAGAAGCACUGGUAUAGAGAAGGGUAUUAACACUCACUCAUUAAACUUGACGUUUGACCUUGAAGAGUCUGUGUAUAUAUUAAAUCAAUAUGUACUUUUCUUCACUAGGCUGAGCUUCUAGAACCUAACACUGUGUAGGCUGGAUAAGAUGCUUGCUUUCCAUUGUAAUCUAGAGUGAUAAAAAUGAUCAACCUAACUUGAGUAAUUCACUUGAUUCAGGAGAGAAAUAGAAUACGAUGUAGAUUAUCCAAGUUAAAAACAUCAUUUCAUAGUAAUUGGCUGACAUUUAAAAGCUGGAAUUGUGUGAAAGCCCAUUGCAUUUAUUUAAUCACUAUGGACUCAGUUUUGAGCAAAUAACCAGAUCUACCUUUUCUGUGUCAAUCAGUACAACUCUGUAUCCCUUUCAUGUGCUCUUUUACAAUUUUAGGCCAGAUCCAGAUUUUUUUUUGGUAUUACCAUGACAAGUCUGUUUACCUGAGCUAAGGUAUAUUUUUAGAGACACUAUUUG